AUUGAACGCUGGCGGCAUGCGUAACACAUGCAAGUGGAACGGUAACAGGCCUUCGGGCGCUGACGAGUGGCGGACGGGUGAGUAAUGCAUAGGAAUUUGCCUUGAAGUGGGGGAUAGCCCGGAGAAAUCCGGAUUAAUACCCCAUAUGUUUUACGGAACAAAGUGGGCCUCUGAUUUAAGCUCAUGCUUUGAGAUAAGCCUAUGUCGGAUUAGCUAGUUGGUAGGGUAAAGGCCUACCAAGGCGCCGAUCCGUAGCUGGUUUGAGAGGAUGAUCAGCCCCCCUGGGAGUGAGACCCGGCCCAGACUCCUACGGGAGGCAGCAGUGGGGAAUAUUGGACAAUGGGCGCAAGCCUGAUCCAGCAAUGCCGGGU
rnacentral:rRNA from 1 species